rnacentral:rRNA from 1 species
AACGAACGCUGGCGGCAGGCUUAACACAUGCAAGUCGAGCGCCCCGCAAGGGGAGCGGCAGACGGGUGAGUAACGCGUGGGAAUCUACCUAUCUCUACGGAACAACUCCGGGAAACUGGAGCUAAUACCGUAUACGUCCUUCGGGAGAAAGAUUUAUCGGAGAUGGAUGAGCCCGCGUUGGAUUAGCUAGUUGGUGGGGUAAUGGCCUACCAAGGCGACGAUCCAUAGCUGGUCUGAGAGGAUGAUCAGCCACACUGGGACUGAGACACGGCCCAGACUCCUACGGGAGGCAGCAGUGGGGAAUAUUGGACAAUGGGCGAAAGCCUGAUCCAGCCAUGCCGCGUGAGUGAUGAAGGCCCUAGGGUUGUAAAGCUCUUUCGCAGGUGAAGAUAAUGACGGUAACCUGAGAAGAAGCCCCGGCUAACUUCGUGCCAGCCGCCGCAGUAACAC